rnacentral:rRNA from 1 species
AGUUUGAUCAUGGCUCAGGACGAACGCUGGCGGCGUGCUUAACACAUGCAAGUCGAACGAUGAAGCCGCUUCGGUGGUGGAUUAGUGGCGAACGGGUGAGUAACACGUGGGCAAUCUGCCCUUCACUCUGGGACAAGCCCUGGAAACGGGGUCUAAUACCGGAUAACACUCUGUCCCGCAUGGGACGGGGUUAAAAGCUCCGGCGGUGAAGGAUGAGCCCGCGGCCUAUCAGCUUGUUGGUGGGGUAAUGGCCUACCAAGGCGACGACGGGUAGCCGGCCUGAGAGGGCGACCGGCCACACUGGGACUGAGACACGGCCCAGACUCCUACGGGAGGCAGCAGUGGGGAAUAUUGCACAAUGGGCGAAAGCCUGAUGCAGCGACGCCGCGUGAGGGAUGACGGCCUUCGGGUUGUAAACCUCUUUCAGCAG